CAGUAGCCGCGGUAAUACAGAGGGUGCAAGCGUUAAUCGGAAUUACUGGGCGUAAAGCGCGCGUAGGUGGUUUGUUAAGUUGGAUGUGAAAUCCCCGGGCUCAACCUGGGAACUGCAUUUGAAACUGUCAGGCUGGAGUCUUGUAGAGGGGGGUAGAAUUCCAGGUGUAGCGGUGAAAUGCGUAGAGAUCUGGAGGAAUACCGGUGGCGAAGGCGGCCCCCUGGACAAAGACUGACGCUCAGGUGCGAAAGCGUGGGGAGCAAACAGGAUUGGAUACCCGCGUAGUCCCUGUCUCUUAUAC
rnacentral:rRNA from 1 species